rnacentral:rRNA from 1 species
GGUCCGUAGGCGGUCUAAUAAGUCAGUGGUGAAAUCCUUCCGCUUAACGGGAGAACGGCCAUUGAUACUGUUAGACUUGAAUUAUUAGGAAGUAACUAGAAUAUGUAGUGUAGCGGUGAAAUGCUUAGAGAUUACAUGGAAUACCAAUUGCGAAGGCAGGUUACUACUAAUGGAUUGACGCUGAUGGACGAAAGCGUGGGUAGCGAACAGGAUUAGAUACCCUGGUAGUCCACGCCGUAAACGAUGGAUACUAGCUGUUGGGAGUAAUCUCAGUGGCUAAGCGAAAGUGAUAAGUAUCCCACCUGGGGAGUACGUUCGCAAGAAUGAAACUCAAAGGAAUUGACGGGGGCCCGCACAAGCGGUGGAGCAUGUGGUUUAAUUCGAUGAUACGCGAGGAACCUUACCAAGGCUUAAAUGUAGUUUGACCGGUUUGGAAACAGAUCUUUCGCAAGACAAAUUACAAGGUGCUGCAUGGUUGUCGUCAGCUCGUGCCGUGAGGUGUCAGGUUAAGUCCUAUAACGAGCGCAACCCCUGUUGUUAGUUGCCAGCGAGUCAUGUCGGGAACUCUAACGAGACUGCCAGUGCAAACUGUGAGGAAGGUGGGGAUGACGUCAAAUCAUCACGGCCCUUACGCCUUGGGCUACACACGUGCUACAAUGGACGGUACAGAGAGCA